rnacentral:RNase_P_RNA from 1 species
GAGGAAAGUCCGGACUCCUUAUAGAAAUAAAUUGUUGAAUAAAUUUCAAUAUAAGUAAUUAUGAGGAUAGUGCCACAGAAAAAUACCACCUUACUUGUUAAGGAAAGGGUGCAAAGGUGUAUUAAGAGUGCACCAGUAGUAUUAUUAAGAUACUUGCUUGGUAAACCCCAUUAAGGAGCAAAGAGGUAAGAGUGUAAUUAUCUAUAAAUCCAUUGAAUUGGUUUACUCAUAACUGAAUACCGCAUUAAGUAGUAUGUAUUAAUAUGCUACUUGAGAUUAAUAACUACCCUUCCUCCAACUUUAGGGUGGAAGAACAGAAUCCGGCUUAU